rnacentral:lncRNA from 10 species
GGCCCAGAGUGCUGAAGUGCUGAAGCUCCUGUAGAAGGUCCUUCCAUGUGUCUUUCAGAUCCUGGGCUUGGCCUUCUCCAUAACCAUCACCCAGCACAUCCACUGGACUGGGUCUUGCUCUGUCAUCCAGACUGGAGUACAGUGGUGCAACCACGGCUCACUGCAGCCUUGAACUCCUGGGCUCAAGCAAUCCUCCUACCUCAGCCUCCAUAGCAGUCGGGACCACAGAUGGAGUCUUGCUUUGUCGCCCAGGGUUGAAGUGUAGUGGCACAAUCUUGGCUCACUGUAACCUCCACCUCCCGGGUUCAAGCAAUUCUCCUGCCUCAGCCUCCCGAGUAGCUGGGAUUACAGCGUGGCCAUCCAGCCUGCCCUGAUUUCUCCUGAGCAUACAAGUGCCUGGUCCACACGUCCACAA